CAAAUUAUUUAUGGAUAAAUAAUUAUCCUGAUAUUCUGACAUUGCUGAAAUUAUGUCGACAUUUGUGUACAUUUACAUCAUCGUCCUAUUAAAGAGAUACUCUGCUGACAAAAUUGCGAGGAAUGUUUGCUUUAAGACAGCAUCUGAGCUUGUGAAAAAUCUGAAUAAGUGUCGAUUUUCCCUAAAAUCUGUUGCGGAUUUAAUGCAAGAUAGAGGUACCACCUGUCGUAGUAAAUGCGAUGUUCGGAUGAAUAAUAUCGAGAGUCGCAUGAUUAAUUCCCUGGAAGGCAUUGUUUUUACGAUCGGCAGCUAUUCAUACAAAUCUGACGUUUGUAUGGGGUUGAGAAACAACGGCGGAAGAUAUCUUAUCAUCAGCUGCUCAUCAACGAAAGAUGAUGUGCCAAUAAGCAACCAAACUAGGGAAAAUGUAGAAAAAGAGGAGAGAAAUUUAACUGUCAUUGGGGAAAAUGCGACACAUUCUGGCAGAGAGACUGCAGAGUAUGUCACAACUGUCUCUAAUGCCAUAAAGACAAGUUUUGAUGUACAUCAACAAGCAGGUGUUUAUUGGGAUACAGCAUAAAAAAUCUCCAGGAAUUUGUUGGUGAUUAUUAAAACAAUUAUCCUUGCAAAGUCUUCAAUAACAUCAUGAUGUGUAAACCUAUCCAUAACUGUUCAUACAUGCAAUUCAUUAUAUUUGUUUAAAUAUCAUGGUUAUCAUUCUAAGGGGUUUUUUUUUUUACAUCUUUUAAAUCAAUGAUAUAAUAUGUAAUCUGCUUUUCAUUUUUUUAAUAUUCAGGAAAUAUGUAUGACAAUGCAGGUUGUAAGUUAAUAACUAACUCCCAUAAUAACAAGCACUGUAUUCUAUGUAUAAUUGAAUAACUUUUAAAAAAGAGUAAAACUGAAAAGAAAAAAAUCAUUUCUUUUAUAUAAUUAAUAUCAUUUUUAAUUUGAAAUGAUAUUUGUUUUGUCACUAAUGCUUAAAGAGACAGUACAGCUAAAAUCACAUGUGUGAAUAACUUCAGAUUUACCCAUUGUGUCGUUAGGAAAUAAGAAAUAACGUUGACUGUAAUAGUUAAAAUACAUAAAAAUCCCUUUCACAUACCUAAUUUAUGAAAUUAUGAGCUUCCGGAAAUUUAAGGGUCGUACAGACUACGAUACUUAUUUAAUUCCUAAAUAAUUUUAAAGGUAAUUCAAAAACAGCAGAAGAUAUUAUUGGGAUACGGUGUGCAGCCUUUUUCUCUGGACUGCUUCUUGGAAUAAUUAUAACAUUGGUACUACAUAGAAAGUGCAGACUUUGUGUCCGGAAACACAUAGAACCCAUUGACCUAAAAGACAAUGAGAUCUCGUGCAGUGUUUCCAGAAUAAUGGAAUGCAACGUUAAUAUAUAUCCUAUAGACUGCAAUAAACAGUCAUUUCAGCGGAACAACGACCAUCUGCCGUCCAACGACGGUCCUAUCGACUCCCCCAUAUACACCAGUGUAUUGGAUAUAUCAAUAGAAGAUUGCAAACUGGAUAAUGAAUAUAAUCACCUGAAUAAACAACGAAAUACUGACGAAUACGACCAUGCCGGUCUGCUGUUGUGUGAUGAAAUAUAUUCGGAUUGUAAAAGAAAUGUUCUUUGUGUGAAUAGCGUUUACGCUACUGCAGCUGAAAUAAUAUAACAUCAGAACAAUUUUGAUAUGUACAUAUUAUAUUUUGUGUGAUUGUCAACAGGUGGCGUUUUGUAUUUAUAAAACUGCAUAUCUUUACACUGAGUGUGUAAUUUAAUGCUAUUUAGAAUGUGCGAUGGUACAACCAAAAUUGCGUAGACAAAUGACGUUAUUCAGUUAAUCAAAGACACAGGAAGAUAAAAGAAGAUAAAAUUUGUCCCACAAAAGGUUCAAGUAAUUUGAAGUGAAAUGAUGUUUUGAUAUCAAAUAUUAUAUGAGAGUAAUUAGUAAAACAAAUGUACACUUAUUAAAGAAACCUCGAUCAAGUAAAAAAUAUCAAGUGCCGUCUAAAACUUUGUUAUGUCUCCAUUUCUUUUUAUGUCACAAAUUGCUAAAUAUAUAUUUCAAAAAAUCGAAAACAUGAUUAAACACUUUUUUUUCAGAGCAAACAUUUAGAGAAUAUACAGUACAGGGUUGAUAGAGGCUUACAAGGGAUGUGAACAGUGGAAGACAGGAGAUGACAGGCUAAGUGGAUAUGCACAGGUCAUUGUAACAAAUUGUAAAGAACGACAAAAACAAGUAUAUGAUGUUUUAAGACUAUUUGUUGCAGAUAGAUCAGUCUUAAACGUAAACUGUUACAAGAAUAACAGUUCAUUCACACGAAAGAUUAAUUUGAAAACCCACACAAAGUACAAAUUUACAUUGGUUUUGCCCUCUAUUUGCUUUAAUAUACUUAAAGUUGUGCAAUGAUGUCAAAUGCUUUGAUAACAAACCAAAUUCAAACCAUGUUAUUUUAAAGGAAAACUGGUGUGACCGUAUGUUUAUUGUCUUUUGCCAAAAUUGAAAUUUAUAUUUGUGGACAUCAUGCAAUAAAUUGAU